GACGUAGGGCGCGAGCGUUGUCCGGAUUUAUUGGGCGUAAAGAGCUCGUAGGCGGCUUGUUGCGUCGACUGUGAAAACCUGCGGCUCAACCGUGUGGUCUGCAGUCGAUACGGGCAGGCUGGAGUUCGGUAGGGGAGACUGGAAUUCCUGGUGUAGCGGUGAAAUGCGCAGAUAUCAGGAAGAACACCCGUGGCUAAGGCGGUUCUCUAGUACGGUACUGACGCUGAGACGCGAAAGCGUGGGGAGCGAACAGG
rnacentral:rRNA from 1 species